UAGCAUAUGCUUGUCUCAAAGAUUAAGCCAUGCAUGUCUCAGUGUAAACACUAGUAUUGUGAAACUGCGAAUGGCUCAUUAAAUCAGUGAUAAUCUCUUUGAUAGUGCGUGGCACAUGGAUAACUGUGCUAACUGUAGAGCUAAUACAUGCCCAGAUUCUUGGAUUUCGGUCUAAGAAGCAUUUAUUAGAUUCGAGCCAACCUGGUGUCCUUGUGGCAUCAGUGCGGAUGAAUCAUAAUAACUUUGCGAAUCACAGAGCCCCAUUUAUGAGGCGGUGAUGCAUCAUUCGAAUCUCUGCCCUAUCAGCUUUUGAUGGUAGUGUCGUGGACUACCAUGGCGAUAACGGGUAACGGAGAAUUAGGGUUCGAUUCCGGAGAGGGAGCCUGAGAAAUGGCUACCACAUCCAAGGAAGGCAGCAGGCGCGUAAAUUACCCAAUCCUGACUCAGGGAGGUAGUGACCAUAAAUAACGACGCUCGACCUUUGGUCGUGCGAUCGGAAUGCGAGAAGUUUUAAGCCCUUCUCGAAAGCAACUGGAGGGCAAGUCUGGUGCCAGCAGCCGCGGUAAUACCAGCUCCAGUAGCGUAUAUUAAAGUUGUUGCAGUUAAAAAGCUCGUAGUUGGAUGUCGGAAAGGACCUCCUUGGUGUCCGUCACUCCUAUGUGAGUGUUCGUGACCCAGAGUGUUUUACCCUUUCUAUUUUCGACUGGAAUCGGGUAUGUUUUUUGUGCAUUUACUUGCACGAUGUGCCUACACUCCUCACAAGGGAGUGGAACGGUUUCGGUCAUGUUACUGUGAAGAAAUCAGAGUGCUCAAAGCAGGCAUUUGUCCGAAUGGAUUAGCAUGGGAUAACCACCCUUGACCUCGGUCUUUGGGAGUUGGUUCAAAAGAUCGAUGGCGCUUGAUUAAUAGGAACAGUCGGGGGCAUUCGUAUUCCGAAGUCAGAGGUGAAAUUCUUGGAUUUUCGGAAGACGAACAUAUGCGAAAGCAUUUGCCAAGGAUGUUUUCAUUAAUCAAGAACGAAAGUUCGGGGAUCGAAGACGAUCAGAUACCGUCGUAGUCCGAACCAUAAACGAUGCCGACUAGGGAUUGGAAGAUGUGCUUUUGCCAUCUUUCAGCACCUUCCGAGAAAUCAAAGUUUUUGGGUUCCGGGGGGAGUAUGGUCGCAAGGCUGAAACUUAAAGGAAUUGACGGAAGGGCACCACCAGGAGUGGAGCCUGCGGCUUAAUUUGACUCAACACGGGGAAACUUACCAGGUCCAGACAUAGGAAGGAUUGACAGAUUGACAGCUCUUUCUUGAUUCUAUGGGUGGUGGUGCAUGGCCGUUCUUAGUUGGUGGAGUGAUUUGUCUGGUUAAUUCCGAUAACGAACGAGACCUUCACCUCUAAAUAGUGUGCAUCUCUAUACUUCUUGUGAGGUGAGUUUUGGAGAAAAGUGGGUUCGCUCGCAAUUUUCCUCUCUCUUACUUGAACGAGAUGUCCUUUUUAAUCACACUUCUUAGAGGGACGAUGUGCGUUAGCACAAGGAAGUUGGAGGCAAUAACAGGUCUGUGAUGCCCUUAGAUGUCCUGGGCCGCACGCGUGCUACACUGACGGAUCCAACAAGUUUGCUAUUAUGACCUGGACCGAAAGGUUUGGGAAAUCUGGCAAUGUCCGUCGUGAUGGGGAUCGACCCUUGUAACUUGGUCGUGAACGAGGAAUUCCUUGUAAGCGCAAGUCAUCAUCUUGCGUUGAAUACGUCCCUGCCCUUUGUACACACCGCCCGUCGCUCCUACCGAUGGAUGGUCCGGUGAAAUCUUCGGAUGUCCUUUAAUCUUUUUCACUCGUUGGAAAAGUUAGAGAGCAGAAGUUGAUUAAACUUUAUCAUCUAGAGGAAGGAGAAGUCGUAACAAGGUUUCC
rnacentral:rRNA from 1 species